rnacentral:lncRNA from 1 species
CUGCCUUGAGCGGGCCUUUGUGCCCGCAGGGCCCCCACGGACAUCCGACAGGGGGCCCCUUACCUGGUCGGCUCCACCCGCAGCCAUCUUGGAAGUGGGAAGCGGCCGGGAGGGGGAAGGGGCUCGAGCGGGCAGGGCUCAGGCGUAGGGAGCCGAGCGGCGGAGCGCAUCGAUGGGGCUCCCCUGCCCCGGCCGGUGUGCGGGAGACGGCCCGGGCCCCGCCGCGGAAGGGAAGCUUUGCGUGACACCGGAGCUCAGGCCCCGCCGCGGUGGUCUUGGGAGCGGCGCCGUGGCGUCCUCCCAGCCAGCCUCAGUCUCUUAAUCUAUAAAGGGCUUUUCCGAACGUUCUCUCUUAUCGCGCUGUGACACGGUGCCUGGCGCUGUAGUUCCCAAACUGGUCUGCACUUUAGUAUUGCCUGCGGAGCUUUUAAUAUUCUGAAGCCCAGGCCGAUUAAGUCACAGUCUCUGAAGAUGAGAUGGAAGCAUCAUCAGUUUGGGAAGCUGUGUAAUGUGCACGCGGGUUUGGAAGCCACUGGCCUGGCGUUAUCUGCAUAUUUGGCCUCAACAUUGCACAAACUCCAGAGACGGGAUCUAUGAUCAGAGCCAUUGUACAAAGCGGG